rnacentral:rRNA from 1 species
AGUGAACGCUGGCUGUAGUCCUAACACAUGCAAGUCGAACGGCAGCACUGUAAGAUCUUGCUCUUACGGGUGGCGAGUGGCGGACGGGUAAGGUGUACAUCGGCACCUACUUUUUCGUGAGCCAUACCGUAGGGCAACUUACGCUACUACCGCAUAAGACCUACGGGUGAAAGCACGGCAUCUUCCGACCUUGCGCGAUUGAAUGAGCCGAUGUCGGAUUAGCUAGUUGGCGGGGUAAAGGCCCACCAAGGCGACGAUCCGUAGCUGGGCUGAGAGGAUGAUCCGCCACACUUGAACUGGGACACGGUCCAGACUCCUACGGGAGGCAGCAGUGGGGAAUUUUGGAGAAUGGGCGGAAGGCUGAUCCAGGCAUACCGGGUGGGUGAAGAAGGCCCUCGGGUUGUAAAGCCCUUUUGUUAGGAAAGAAAAGCAGCAGCUUAAUACCCGGCGGGUCUGACGGUACCCAGAGAAUAAGCAACGGCUAACUUAGGG